CUCAUCAGCAGAGCAGAAAAUGAGGAUCAUAUACAGCACUUAUCUCAUGGGAUUAUGUGAUUAGAAAUUUCCCUCCUCUGAGCUGGUACUUGGUGUGACUUCUCACUAUGGCACAGAGAGUGGGAAGGAAUGUUUGGACUUCUCCUAGGCCAAGGACAGCAAGGCAAAGUUUAUGUACAGAGAGUGCCCUGGAAUCGUUCAUGCCCAUGCAGAGCAGACAGGCGAUGGAUUUCAAAACAGACUGGCUCUUCCAAAAGACCCCACACAGUGAACUUCAUAGCACUCCACAAAUCUCUCCCAGAGAAAGAUGGAAAGCUUGUUUGAGUCUUCCAGGAUGUAAACGUGUGGUUCCGCCAAGCCUAACCAGAUGCUGGAAUAGAACCUGAGCAGUCAACCUGAUGCCCAAGGCCACCAAGUCACCCUUCCAGUUGGGCAGCUCAGAGAAAGCAGCCAAAGGCAAAAACAACAUAAUACCCAAAGCUCAAAUAAAUGAUGUCUCUGCCUUGAAACGGAUCACUGCACAUUGCAGGACUGAGGCCCCUUAUUUAUUUAAUGCUCUCCAAGCCAGCAACAGAAAUAAUUGCCUACAUGGUCAGGGCAGGAAAUCCUGACAGAGGGAACUCAACACGGUAGCUCUACAUUCUUUUUUUUUUUUUUUUUUUUUAAACC